CCUACGGGGCGCAGCAGUGGGGAAUAUUGCACAAUGGGGGAAACCCUGAUGCAGCGACGCCGCGUGAGUGAAGAAGUAUUUCGGUAUGUAAAGCUCUAUCAGCAGGGAAGAAAAUGACGGUACCUGACUAAGAAGCCCCGGCUAACUACGUGCCAGCAGCCGCGGUAAUACGUAGGGGGCAAGCGUUAUCCGGAUUUAUUGGGUGUAAAGGGUGCGGAGGCGGAUUUUUAAGGCAGCGGUAAAAUGUCCGGGCUCAACCCGGGCCAGCCGUUGAAACUGGGGAUCUUGAGUGGGCGAGAAGUAUGCGGAAUGCGUGGUGUAGCGGUGAAAUGCAUAGAUAUCACGCAGAACUCCGAUUGCGAAGGCAGCAUACCGGCGCCCGACUGACGCUGAGGCACGAAAGCGUGGGGAGCAAACAGGAUUAGAUACCCGGGUAGUC
rnacentral:rRNA from 1 species